rnacentral:tRNA from 1 species
GGAGAGAUGGCAGAGCGGUUUAUUGCGUCGGUCUUGAAAACCGAAGUGCUGGAAACGGUACCGUGGGUUCGAAUCCCUCUCUCUCCGCCA